AUUGAACGCUGGCGGCAGGCUUAACACAUGCAAGUCGAACGGUAACAGAACUAGCUUGCUAGUUGCUGACGAGUGGCGGACGGGUGAGUAACGCGUAGGAAUCUACCGAGUAGUGGGGGACAACAGUUGGAAACGACUGCUAAUACCGCAUAAUGCCUACGGGCCAAAGAGGGGGACCUUCGGGCCUCUCGCGUCAAGAUAUGCCUAGGUGGGAUUAGCUAGUUGGUGAGGUAAUGGCUCACCAAGGCGACGAUCCCUAGCUGGUCUGAGAGGAUGAUCAGCCACACUGGAACUGAGACACGGUCCAG
rnacentral:rRNA from 1 species